rnacentral:rRNA from 1 species
GGAAUGGUCUCAGCGAUGCUCGACUAUAUUGGCCCCAUCGACGUAAUCAACUUCUGGCUGCUGCAAAGAAGGAAAACAAAAGGUUUAGGGAUUAAUAAGGUGCCAUGUGGGUGCAUAGCCCCUGGCAUAUU